rnacentral:rRNA from 1 species
GGGCCCGCACAAGCGGUGGAGUAUGUGGUUUAAUUCGAUGCAACGCGAAGAACCUUACCAGGGUUUGACAUCCUGCGAAUCUCUUGGAAACAGGAGAGUGCCUUCGGGAACGCAGUGACAGGUGGUGCAUGGCUGUCGUCAGCUCGUGUCGUGAGAUGUUGGGUUAAGUCCUAUAACGAGCGCAACCCCUGCCGUUAGUUGCCAGCAUGUAAUGAUGGGAACUCUAACGGGACUGCCGGUGCAAACCGCGAGGAAGGUGGGGAUGACGUCAAAUCAUCACGGCCCUUACGUCCUGGGCUACACACGUACUACAAUGCUACGGGACAAAGGGGCAGCAAGUUCGCGAGGACAAGCAAUCCCAUAAACCGUGGCUC